GACGAACGCUGGCGGCGUGCUUAACACAUGCAAGUCGAACGGAAAGGCCCUGCUUUUGUGGGGUGCUCGAGUGGCGAACGGGUGAGUAACACGUGAGUAACCUGCCCUUGACUUUGGGAUAACUUCAGGAAACUGGGGCUAAUACCGGAUAGGAGCUCCUGCUGCAUGGUGGGGGUUGGAAAGUUUCGGCGGUUGGGGAUGGACUCGCGGCUUAUCAGCUUGUUGGUGGGGUAGUGGCUUACCAAGGCUUUGACGGGUAGCCGGCCUGAGAGGGUGACCGGCCACAUUGGGACUGAGGUACGGACCAGACUCCUACGGGAGGCAGCAGUGGGGAAUAUUGCACAAUGGGCGGAAGCCUGAUGCGGCAACGCCGCGUGCGGGAUGACGGCCUUCGGGUUGUAAACCGCUUUCGCCUGUGACGAAGCGUGAGUGACGGUAAUGGGUAAAGAAGCACCGGCUAACUACGUG
rnacentral:rRNA from 1 species